AUUCAAGUAAAUGUGCCACCUCC
rnacentral:piRNA from 1 species